CUUAGGAUAUUUUAAACCAGGAGCCUUCAAAGCCCCUAAAAAGAGUAUUAGCCUCUUAGCUCCUG
rnacentral:tRNA from 1 species